GGAUGGUACAGACUUUAUAGGCUAAAAAGUGUUAUGAAGUGUCCCAUGCCAGAGCAAACUGGCCCUGAACCAUUGCCUGGCCUCUGCCCGUAGGCUGCAGGCACUGAAGCGGGUUGCACAGUG